UUGCAUUUGAACCCCUCUGACAACCAUAGCUAAGGUUUGCUGUUCAAUGGCAACAACUGCUUUAAAGUUAAGUAUCUUGCUAGGACGUUUUUAGCAUACUUGACACCACCAGCCCACCACGACCCUGCAAGGACAAGCCAGUAUAGACAAUGAAUCGAGGAUAUGCCACUUUUGGGCCCAGCCAUGGAUGGAGAACAAAAACUGAACUGCACACAGAAGAGACUGGCAGAAUCUAUGAAUCCCAGAAUGCACAUCAACCCAUUCUCAUGCAUAGCUCCCUGGGAGGAGGAGUUCCAAAUAGUUCUUUACCCUGUGACA